GACGAACGCUGGCGGCACGCUUAACACAUGCAAGUCGAACGGAGAUAAUUUGAGUUUACUUAGAUUAUCUUAGUGGCGGACGGGUGAGUAACACGUGAGCAACCUACCUUUGAGAGAGGGAUAGCUUCUGGAAACGGAUGGUAAUACCUCAUAACGUAGUUUUACCGCAUGAUAGGACUACCAAAGAUUUAUCACUCAAAGAUGGGCUCGCGUCUGAUUAGCUAGAUGGUGAGGUAACGGCUCACCAUGGCGACGAUCAGUAGCCGGACUGAGAGGUUGAACGGCCACAUUGGGACUGAGACACGGCCCAGACUCCUACGGGAGGCAGCAGUGGGGAAUAUUGCACAAUGGGGAAACCCUGAUGCAGCGAUGCCGCGUGGAGGAAGAAGGUUUUCGGAUUGUAAACUCCUGUCUUAAAGGACGAUAAUGACGGUACUUUAGGAGGAAGCUCCGACUAACUACGUGCCAGCAGCCGCGGUAACUAGUCUACG
rnacentral:rRNA from 1 species